CGGGCGUUCGACCGGUUGCACCGACCCUGACAAUUGCGGGUUGUCCGGGUUGUCACUGGUCCGGCUCGUGCGACCCGAACACGCUGGUCC
rnacentral:tRNA from 1 species